rnacentral:rRNA from 1 species
GACGAACGCUGGCGGCGUGCUUAACACAUGCAAGUCGAACGGAAAGGCCCCUUUGGGGGUACUCGAGUGGCGAACGGGUGAGUAACACGUGAGUAACCUGCCCUUGACUUCGGGAUAACUUCAGGAAACUGGGGCUAAUACCGGAUAGGAAUCCUUGCUGCAUGGUGGGGGUUGGAAAGCUUCGGCGGUUUUGGAUGGACUCGCGGCUUAUCAGCUUGUUGGUGGGGUAGUGGCUUACCAAGGCUUUGACGGGUAGCCGGCCGGAGAGGGCGACCGGCCACAUUGGGACUGAGAUACGGCCCAGACUCCUACGGGAGGCAGCAGGGGGGAAUAUUGCACAAUGGGCGGAAGCCUGAUGCAGCAACGCCGCGGGCGGGAGGACGGCCUUCGGGUUGUAAACCGCUUUCAGCAGGGGCGAAGCUUGUGGUGACGGUACCUUCAGAAGAAGCACCGGCUAACUACGUG